rnacentral:rRNA from 1 species
GACAGAGGGUGCAAACGUUGCUCGGAAUCACUGGGCGUAAAGGGCGUGUAGGCGGAUAGAUAAGUCGGGCGUGAAAUCCCCAGGCUCAACCUGGGAACUGCACUCGAAACUGUUUAUCUUGAGUGCCGGAGAGGAAAGCGGAAUUCCUGGUGUAGAGGUGAAAUUCGUAGAUAUCAGGAGGAACACCAGUGGCGAAGGCGGCUUUCUGGACGGUAACUGACGCUGAGACGCGAAAGCGUGGGGAGCAAACGGG